rnacentral:rRNA from 1 species
AGUUGUAUCCUGGCUCAGGACGAACGCUGGCGGCGUGCCUAAUACAUGCAAGUAGAACGCUGAAGAGAGGAGCUUGCUCUUCUUGGAUGAGUUGCGAACGGGUGAGUAACGCGUAGGUAACCUGCCUUGUAGCGGGGGAUAACUAUUGGAAACGAUAGCUAAUACCGCAUAACAAUGGGUGACACAUGUCAUUUAUUUGAAAGGGGCAAUUGCUCCACUACAAGAUGGACCUGCGUUGUAUUAGCUAGUAGGUGAGGUAACGGCUCACCUAGGCGACGAUACAUAGCCGACCUGAGAGGGUGAUCGGCCACACUGGGACUGAGACACGGCCCAGACUCCUACGGGAGGCAGCAGUAGGGAAUCUUCGGCAAUGGGGGCAACCCUGACCGAGCAACGCCGCGUGAGUGAAGAAGGUUUUCGGAUCGUAAAGCUCUGUUGUAAGUCAAGAACGAGUGUGAGAGUGGAAAGUUCACACUGUGACGGUAGCUUACCAGAAAGGGACGGCUAACUACGUGCCAGCAGCCGCGGUAAUACGUAGGUCCCGAGCGUUGUCCGGAUUUAUUGGGCGUAAAGCGAGCGCAGGCGGUUUGAUAAGUCUGAAGUUAAAGGCUGUGGCUCAACCAUAGUUCGCUUUGGAAACUGUCAAACUUGAGUGCAGAAGGGGAGAGUGGAAUUCCAUGUGUAGCGGUGAAAUGCGUAGAUAUAUGGAGGAACACCGGUGGCGAAAGCGGCUCUCUGGUCUGUAACUGACGCUGAGGCUCGAAAGCGUGGGGAGCGAACAGGAUUAGAUACCCUGGUAGUCCACGCCGUAAACGAUGAGUGCUAGGUGUUGGAUCCUUUCCCGGGAUU